rnacentral:rRNA from 1 species
AUGAACGCUGGCGGCGUGCCUAAUACAUGCAAGUCGAGCGAACAGACGAGGAGCUUGCUCCUCUGACGUUAGCGGCGGACGGGUGAGUAACACGUGGAUAACCUACCUAUAAGACUGGGAUAACUUCGGGAAACCGGAGCUAAUACCGGAUAAUAUAUUGAACCGCAUGGUUCAAUAGUGAAAGACGGUUUUGCUGUCACUUAUAGAUGGAUCCGCGCCGCAUUAGCUAGUUGGUAAGGUAACGGCUUACCAAGGCAACGAUGCGUAGCCGACCUGGGAGGGUGAUCGGCCACACUGGAACUGAGACACGGUCCAGACUCCUACGGGAGGCAGCAGUAGGGAAUCUUCCGCAAUGGGCGAAAGCCUGACGGAGCAACGCCGCGUGAGUGAUGAAGGUCUUCGGAUCGUAAAACUCUGUUAUUAGGGAAGAACAAAUGUGUAAGUAACUAUGCACGUCCUGACGGUACCUAAUCAGAAAGCCACGGCUAACUACGUG